CGGUUUCAUCUUCCUGCUAUGAGAACCGCAGAGAAAGUAAUCCACCUCUAUGUGACCAGAACAAUAGAUCAAAUAGUUCAUGGUAUGCGUCUCUGGACAGCUGCCUUGUACCACUCCCCACGAGCAGCAGUGGCAAUACAUAUAAGUGGCCUGCACCCUGGCCCCAGAGGCUCAACAAUAAACCUGAACGCUUAUCCCAAAAAACAGAUAAUGAAG
rnacentral:misc_RNA from 1 species